ACUGCAGCAGAUUCCAGCUGGUAAACCUGUCAUUCUGGUAGUACUGCAUCACACCUUCAACCCAGACUACACUGUACCUGACAGCAGCAGACUAGUGACCAGAGGUGAUGUAAUACUCACAGUGGACUGUCUCUUCCAUGAGAGCCAGGGACUAUUGGAGUGUCAUCACAAUGAAGCAGCAGUCAAAGAGAUUCUGAAGAAGCUUAAUAUACAUCCUGAGAUGGUGUCUUCCAGUAUCCUUGAUUGCACCAGGGCAGA